rnacentral:sRNA from 1 species
GGUUUGCACGCCGGACCGGAGAGCGCGGAGGCAGCCAUGGUGCGGUUCAAGCACAGGUACCUGCUCUGCGAACUGGUGUCUGACGACCCCCGCUGCCGCCUAAGCCUCGAUGACCGAGUUCUGAGCAGCCUCGUACGGGACACGAUCGCCAGGGUGCACGGAACUUUCGGCGCAGCCGCCUGCUCCAUCGGCUUCGCGGGUGCAAGGGCGCUGGGGGAAGAGGGGAACCCGGGAGGAUGGCGGGAUGUGGAGGGGGCAGGCGCCGGAGGAAGAAAGAAAGGGCACGAGUGGCCAAGCCCGUGCACCGUUUUUUGUAAGGUAUCUCUUUACGCGCCUGGGACCCCAAGCGAGAGUCCGAAAUUAGCAGAGCGCUAAAAGGGGCCCGAAGGCAGUGGGGCUUUGAGCUAGAGGCCUCUUUUUACCUGCUUGACAGGUAAUUUCUGUAAUUGGUUGUGAUUGAAUUUGAUAGGGUAGGGAAUUAAAUGAGGGAAGCUGUGUAUAGUUCCUAGUAAGAGCUAUUAUAUGACCGAUUACAUUAACAUCACAUGGAAAAAAAAAUGUCAAAAGUACCCCUGGGAAAGCCCUUAAAUAGUUGGUAAAGUACAGAACACAUGAUUGUCAAUAUAUGUAAAUACAGGAUGAGCUAGGACAGAGGGGCCCUUCUUUCACACCACUUAAAUUAGUUCCCUCUUUUACUUUGCUUGAGAUUGACUUCUG